GAUGAAGAACGCAGCGAAAUGCGAUAAGUAAUGUGAAUUGCAGAAUUCAGUGAAUCAUCGAAUCUUUGAACGCACAUUGCGCCCCCCAGUAUUCUGGCGGGCAUGCCUGUUCGAGCGUCAUUUCAACCAUCAAGCCCUGCUUGUGUUGGGGUCCUGCGGCUGCCCGCAGGCCCUGAAAACCAGUGGCGGGCUCGCUAGUCACACCGAGCGCAGUAGCACAUCUCGCUCAGGGCGUGCGGCGGGCUCCAGCCGUUAAAGCACCCACCUUUCGCAAGGUUGACCUCCGAUCAGGUAGGAAUACCCGCUGAACUUAAGCAUAUCAAUAAGCGGAGGA
rnacentral:misc_RNA from 1 species